AUGGCAAAUAGGCUGCCAAAGUGGAAGGCAGCACUCAUGCCAAAGAGUGGCCGGCUAACUUUGGUUCAAUCCGUGCUCUGCGCCAUGCCAAUCCAUGCUAUGAUGGCAUUAGAUCUCCCGAUGAAAACUAUCGCAUCUAUGAACAAGAUUUGCAGAGUCUUCUUGUGGUGUAGGAGAGUGGAAGCGAAUGGUGGCAACUGUGCGGUUGCAUGGGACAUGGUUUGCUCGCCCAAGUGGGCAGGUGGCUUGGGGCUGCGAAGUCUAAGAUGGAUGAACAUCGCCAUGCAGGCCCGUUGGCUGUGGCUACAAAGGAUAGAUGAGUCAAGGCCGUGGAGCGAGUUUCGAAUAAAAGUCACGGAUGAUGCAAGACUGCUGUGCCAGGCAGCUAUGAGGAGUACAGCGUGGUCGGGCCGCACAACAUUUUUUGGGAAGACAAAUGGUUAG
rnacentral:rRNA from 1 species